CUUCGGUGGUACUCGAGCGGCGAACGGGUGAGUAACACGUGAGUAAUCUGCCCUUGGCUUUGGGAUAGCCACCGGAAACGGUGAUUAAUACCGGAUACGACAACUACUCGCAUGGGUUGGUUGUGGAAAGUUUUUCGGCCAGGGAUGUGCUCGCGGCCUAUCAGCUUGAUGGUGAGGUAAUGGCUCACCAUGGCUUCGACGGGUAGCCGGCCUGAGAGGGUGACCGGUCACACUGGGACUGAGACACGGCCCAGACUCCUACGGGAGGCAGCAGUGGGGAAUAUUGGACAAUGGGCGGAAGCCUGAUCCAGCAACGCCGCGUGAGGGAUGACGGCCUUCGGGUUGUAAACCUCUUUCGGUAGGGACGAAGCGGAAGUGACGGUACCUACUAAAGAAGCACCGGCCAACUACGUGCCAGCAGCCGCGGUAAUACGUAGGGUGCGAGCGUUGUCCGGAAUUAUUGGGCGUAAAGGGCUCGUAGGCGGUUUGUCGCGUCGGGAGUGAAAACCAGGUGCUUAACACCUGGCUUGCUUUCGAUACGGGCAGACUAGAGGUAUGCAGGGGAGAACGGAAUUCCUG
rnacentral:rRNA from 1 species